UACGUAGGGUGCGAGCGUUAAUCGGAAUUACUGGGCGUAAAGCGUGCGCAGGCGGUGAUGUAAGACCGAUGUGAAAUCCCCGGGCUUAACCUGGGAACUGCAUUGGUGACUGCAUCGCUCGAGUAUGGCAGGGGGGGUAGAAUUCCACGUGUAGCAGUGAAAUGCGUAGAGAUGUGGAGGAAUACCGAUGGCGAAGGCAGCCCCCUGGGUCAAUACUGACGCUCAUGCACGAAAGCGUGGGGAGCAAACAGG
rnacentral:rRNA from 1 species